UUUGAAAUGCUGUCAAAGGAACAAGGAACGACUGGAGAACCUUCAUCACACCAUGGAGCCCAGAGGCACCAUAGAUAUGUGGUGCAUUUGGUUGAUUCUUAGUUCUGGUGGAGACUAUAGCCUUAAAACAGCAGUGUCAGUGCCAGAAGAGCAAUGAUUUUUAUUUCAUUAGUAAAUAUAUUUAAAAGGGGCCUAUCGCUAACAUCCAUCAGUUAAAGUGAGCACUAGUCUGCCCACAAACAGGCUGCAUCCUUCACUGUCAGAAUGGGAAUAUUUCAGCCAGGAUCUAAAUUUCACUUACCGUGUGUUGAUUUGAUUGUUUGAUUGUAGCUUACUGUAUUAACCACAGUAUGCAGCUAACAUUAUUUACGUUCUUGACAACCGCCUUCAAUAUUAGCUGAAUGCAGUAAAACACAAAGGUUUGUUUGGUAACGCAAAGAUAAAAAUGUUUGCAAACUAACAACUUCAAUAAGUAUAAACUUUAGUUUUUCAAACACCAAACGUUUGAAAUUCUUGGGGUUUUAGCUAACAUGAGCAGACAUGAAAAAAAGUUUUUUCUCCCCCCAAAAUUGGAUUAAUUGAAAAGCUUACUUUGGGAUGAACUCCAAAGUUCCUCUUAGGGUUUUUAAUUUAGCUGUGAAAAGUCCUCUCCUGUCCAGUAAAAGUUAAUUUACAUAGUUGUCUUCUUGAAACACUGGCUGGGGGUCCCGGACAGAUAGGUGGGCGUAAAGUGUUAUAAACAGCUGUAUGUGCCUCCUGUCACCAGAUGUAUGAAUGAGAAGACUCGCUGAGUCUCGCACUAACCCCCAGGUCCUGGACAUUGGGGUAAACCCUCAACACUGAAGAGUGCCUGUCCCCAGGCAAAUGGGACCAAGAGGACGCAGACUUCACUGCACAAAAAGACACUUUUGGGUUCUAAAGUGAAGCCUCUGCCAAGAAGGGAAAGAUGUGGAGAAAUGGUGGUAAAACAAGGUUGAAGAGUGGAGAAGUGGCAAAACAGACAUCAUGUAAUGUGACAUCAGUAAGGUUUCCCACCUUCUCCCUGCUGCCUCGUCCUCUCAGUGAUGCCGUCUAGUGGCUCUCUGAUGCUUCUGCAUCCACACGACCAGAGAAGGACAACGUGAGCAGGCUGCUCGCCGUACAUGGCAUUCGUGAAAGUGUGUGUUUGUAUAUACAGUAUAUGUUUAUGUACAGUAUAUAAAUGUACAAAGUGAGAUAUGACUACUAUGUGUUUGGAACAGUUGAUUAAAUGAGGUAAAGGUUAACACAAGGUCUACAGGAUGUGUGGAUUUUUGCACUUAACAGCAUGUAAUGGAAUUUCAUGUCAUUACACAC